rnacentral:lncRNA from 1 species
AAUCCCGCGGCGGCUGCUUGGCUGAGGUGUUCGCGGUGGCGGCGCGGCGGCCGCUUCCUUCUCCCGCCGCCGCCUCGGCGCCCGCCCGCCAUGGCAGGGAUGUGCUUUAACGGUCCUGCUGCAGAUCGCAUUCCUGAGCUGUACGGCGUUACUGGGAGUCGGUGGUGCUUCCUGAUGACGGUGUCGGGGGUCGGGCCGCGGGCGGGAAGCUGCGCUCCGCCUUCCCUGGUGCGCGGCGGACGCCGAGGCGGCUUUGGAGACUUGGGCGGUUUAGAGCGGAGAGGGACGCUCCUGCUCCUCUCUCUCCCUCCACGUUGUGAACCUUGAACCUUGCCUUAAAAGUGUUUGUCUUUACGUGAACGCGAGUGGCUGACGCGCUGCGGUCGCGGGUCGCGUGCCCUUCCCCCACCUGGCCGCUUCCCACGGCCUUUGUCCUUCCCCUGUCCUUGCUCUGCACCGUCCCCGGCAGUGUGACACCUGGAAAUCCUUGGCCUUGUGAGACGAACAGUGCCCGGAGUAAGCAGGCAAAACUGCCUGAAGAAACUUGUAAGGAUGUAGAUGAUUUGAGAUUGAAUUGUUUCUUUUGCAUUCAUCUAAGGUCUUUUUUUUUUUUCCCUGUUUGCUGUGCCAAAGGGCUUUUACUCAGUUUCUAUUGGGAGCACAGCAGAAUAUGUUUAUUUACAGGCGGGGAAGUGGGGACCUCCAUGCCUGGCUUAAUUUCUAGUUUCUUUUCCUUUUGAGAAGAAGUAUUAGGUGAAGUAAUACAACUAAACGGUGUAUUUUAAGUUUGAUGUCACACUUUGAUAAUGGCAUUUUACUUAAAAACAUUUUGUUCUCUUUGAAUUAAAUUGGGGUUUUUUGCGACUUUAAAACCGUAUUUUAAGUAGAAUUUUGAAUGUAUCUGAAAGUUUGGUAUUUUGAGUUUAUACUUUUUGUAAGACUUCUUUGUAGUGAUUACGCACAUGUUUUUGAUUGUUGUAUGCAUUGAAAGCUCUCUGUCUUACUCCACUUGUUUUAGCUUUAGUAAUCUGUUGGGGCUACUGUGUCUGUUAACAUUGACCAUUGUAUCAAAUAGUUGGGAUAGUAUUUGUUUGAAUUGUAUUAUUGCCAUGAAACUUGACUAUAAGGGAAAAGGGAAAAGUUUUGUUUUGUUUUGUUUUUCUUUUGGGGGCUGUACCCACAGCAUAUGGAGGUUCCCAGGCUAGGGGUCGCAUCCAAGCUACAGCUGCCAGCCUACACCACAGCCACAGCCACUCCAGAUCAGAGUGCAGCUGUGACCUACACCACAGCCCUGGCAACGCCGGGUCCUUAACCUACAGAGGGAGGCCAAGGAUCGAACCCGCAACCUCAUGGUUCCUCGUUGGAUUCGUUUCCGCUGCACCACGACGGGACCUGCGGAAAGGCCGUUCCUAAGGUGUCUGAAGAACAGACAGCACGGAGUCAGUGAACAGCCGAACCGCACGUGUGCAACGAGCGACGUGAUAACCGUGCCGGCCAGGUUCCUCC